rnacentral:tRNA from 1 species
GAAUGUAGCUCUGUGGUAGAGCACUUGCUUAGCAAGCACCAGGCCCUGAGUUCAAUCCCCAGCAGCA